GAUGAACGCUGGCGGCGUGCCUAAUACAUGCAAGUCGAGCGAACAGACGAGGAGCUUGCUCCUCUGACGUUAGCGGCGGACGGGUGAGUAACACGUGGAUAACCUACCUAUAAGACUGGGAUAACUUCGGGAAACCGGAGCUAAUGCCGGAUAAUAUAUUGAACCGCAUGGUUCAAUAGUGAAAGACGGUUUUGCUGUCACUUAUAGAUGGAUCCGCGCCGCAUUAGCUAGUUGGUAAGGUAACGGCUUACCAAGGCAACGAUGCGUAGCCGACCUGAGAGGGUGAUCGGCCACACUGGAACUGAGACACGGUCCAGACUCCUACGGGAGGCAGCAGUAGGGAAUCUUCCGCAAUGGGCGAAAGCUUGACGGAGCAACGCCGCGUGAGUGAUGAAGGUCUUCGGAUCGUAAAACUCUGUUAUUAGGGAAGAACAAAUGUGUAAGUAACUAUGCACGUCCUGACGGUACCUAAUCAGAAAGCCACGGCUAACUACGUG
rnacentral:rRNA from 1 species